GACGAACGCUGGCGGCGUGCCUAAUACAUGCAAGUAGAACGCUGAAGAGAGGAGCUUGCUCUUCUUGGAUGAGUUGCGAACGGGUGAGUAACGCGUAGGUAACCUGCCUUGUAGCGGGGGAUAACUAUUGGAAACGAUAGCUAAUACCGCAUAACAAUGGAUGACACAUGUCAUUUAUUUGAAAGGGGCAAUUGCUCCACUACAAGAUGGACCUGCGUUGUAUUAGCUAGUAGGUGAGGUAAUGGCUCACCUAGGCGACGAUACAUAGCCGACCUGAGAGGGUGAUCGGCCACACUGGGACUGAGACACGGCCCAGACACCUACGGGAGGCAGCAGUAGGGAAUCUUCGGCAAUGGGGGCAACCCUGACCGAGCAACGCCGCGUGAGUGAAGAAGGUUUUCGGAUCGUAAAGCUCUGUUGUAAGUCAAGAACGGGUGUGAGAGUGGAAAGUUCACACUGUGACGGUAGCUUACCAGAAAGGGACGGCUAACUACGUG
rnacentral:rRNA from 1 species